rnacentral:misc_RNA from 1 species
GAUGAAGAACGCAGCGAAAUGCGAUACGUAGUGUGAAUUGCAGAAUUCAGUGAAUCAUCGAAUCUUUGAACGCACAUUGCACCUCUCGGUAUUCCGGGAGGUAUGCCUGUUCGAGCGUCAUUUGUACCCUCAAGCUCUGCUUGGUGUUGGGUGUUGUUCCGCCUCUGUGUGUGAACUCGCCUCAAAACAAUUGGCAGCCGGCGUACUUGUUUCGGAGCGCAGCACAUUUUGCGAUCCAGAUCAACGUACAGCGGCAUCCAAGAAGCCUUAUUUAACGCUCUUGACCUCGGAUCAGGUAGGGAUACCCGCUGAACUUAAGCAUAUCAAUAAGCGGAGGA